GACGAACGCUGGCGGCGUGCUUAACACAUGCAAGUCGAACGGAAAGGCCCUGCUUUUGUGGGGUGCUCGAGUGGCGAACGGGUGAGUAACACGUGAGUAACCUGCCCUUGACUUUGGGAUAACUUCAGGAAACUGGGGCUAAUACCGGAUAGGAGCUCCUGCUGCAUGGUGGGGGUUGGAAAGUUUCGGCGGUUGGGGAUGGACUCGCGGCUUAUCAGCUUGUUGGUGGGGUAGUGGCUUACCAAGGCUUUGACGGGUAGCCGGCCUGAGAGGGUGACCGGCCACAUGGGGACUGCGAUACGGCCCAGACUCCUACGGGAGGCAGCAGUGGGGAAUAUUGCGCAAUGGGCGGAAGCCUGAGGCGGCAGCGCCGCGUGCGGGAUGACGGCCUUCGGGUUGUAAACCGCUUUCGCCUGUGACGAAGCGUGAGUGACGGUAAUGGGUAAAGAAGCACCGGCUAACUACGUG
rnacentral:rRNA from 1 species